UAAUACAGAGGGUGCGAGCGUUAAUCGGAAUUACUGGGCGUAAAGCGCGCGUAGGCGGCUUUGCAAGUCGGAUGUGAAAUCCCCGGGCUUAACCUGGGAACUGCAUUCGAGACUGCAUUGCUAGAGUAUGGGAGAGGGAAGUGGAAUUUCCGGUGUAGCGGUGAAAUGCGUAGAUAUCGGAAGGAACAUCAGUGGCGAAAGCGACUUCCUGGACCAAUACUGACGCUCAUGUGCGAAAGCGUGGGGAGCAAACAGGAUUAGAUACCCUGGUAGUCCACGCCAUAAACGAUGAGAACUGGAUGUCGGGAGGGUUAGCCUCUCGGUGUCGUAGCUAACGCGUUAAGUUCUCCGCCUGGGGAGUACGGCCGCAAGGUU
rnacentral:rRNA from 1 species